GUCUGCAGGCUCCUAGGCUUGGCACCCAGGACUGCAGCUCCUUCCCGAGUUCAAGUUCUGAGUGCCUUCAAGGGCAGCGACAAUCCCCUGGGAGGUGGAGUUAAGUGAACCCCAAGAGGAGUCGUCCCCCCCCCCCCAACCCCGGUUGCUCUGGCCAUCAAGGCUGCUGCUCAGGGAGGAGCAAACCAGCUCCUAUGAGAGCAGACACAGGAUCCUGUGGCUUCCCCAGCAGAGGAGGUUGUAGACGCUUUGCACACCCGAUGGAGCAGCAGAGCACCUACACUGCCACUCCAGGACGCUGAUCAGCAAGGGGUUAGGGAUGAGAUGCGUUCACUUCAGAAGCACACAGACUAUGUAAACAGCCAUGCCAAAGGGCCGCUGUGCCACAAGCUCCAUUAAAUAACAGCACACUUCAAAAG
rnacentral:lncRNA from 1 species